rnacentral:rRNA from 1 species
GACGAACGCUGGCGGCGUGCCUAAUACAUGCAAGUAGAACGCUGAAGCGAGGAGCUUGCUCUUCUUGGAUGAGUUGCGAACGGGUGAGUAACGCGUAGGUAACCUGCCUUGUAGCGGGGGAUAACUAUUGGAAACGAUAGCUAAUACCGCAUAACAAUGGAUGACACAUGUCAUUUAUUUGAAAGGGGCAAUUGCUCCACUACAAGAUGGACCUGCGUUGUAUUAGCUAGUAGGUGAGGUAAUGGCUCACCUAGGCGACGAUACAUAGCCGACCUGAGAGGGUGAUCGGCCACACUGGGACUGAGACACGGCCCAGACUCCUACGGGAGGCAGCAGUAGGGAAACUUCGGCAAUGGGGGCAACCCUGACCGAGCAACGCCGCGUGAGUGAAGAAGGUUUUCGGAUCGUAAAGCUCUGUUGUAAGUCAAGAACGGGUGUGAGAGUGGAAAGUUCACACUGUGACGGUAGCUUACCAGAAAGGGACGGCUAACUACGUG